CCCGCGGCGAGUACGGCGCUCCAAGAUGGCGCCCGCCGUUCCCCCCCGGUGCGUGGGAGUGCCGCUGUGUGCGCUCGUGUUUUCGCUACGAUGGAGAGCACAGGGACAGGUUUCCGAGCAGAGCAGCCCGUCAGCCCCAGCACAGCGAGCUCUGCGGUUUUGAUGAAGAGAUGGCGUUUUGCAGUGAAAAUACAAAGAAAGAAGGAAGAGAAGCAGCCGUUUCCUUCCGAAGAUAAGGGCUAAGGUGCCGUCCUGAUUGCUGAGCAGGCUUUGCCUCCACGGGUCAAAUGAACCACGAAGGCAACGUGAGAACCUGAGUGCCCAGGCGGCCAGGCCAUGUGACAGCCCCGUGCUGCUCCGCCUCCUUACCGGCGGGGGAAGGCGCAGUAAGACGGAGCUGCGCGCCUCGUCCUCCUCUCACAAACCUUCCGAGCUGACGGAUGUUUCCUCCGGGCCUCUUAUUGCAGACACCUCCACCAUUUAUGACUGGACAGAGUGGGCCAAGAUGUGACAGUGCGUACUCAGGUGAACUCUGAGCUUUCUGCUUCGCUCCGAAUGUAGAGCCCAGAGCUUCACCCAGCUGCUUGGUCAUUUCGCUGAGCACAGGCUGGCUUCCUUUGGGCACAUCUUAGAACCAGAACUCACAGUGAGCUGCUAAUAUUUUCCAAGGCCGUCCUGUUGGUCCGUGCCAGCCUCUAGAGGACAGGGAGAAGCAGUGCAAGGAGGGCCUGGGCGCAGUCCCACCCUGUGUCUUACCAGCACGACAUCCAUAGCUGCUAAUGUAAACGGCACAAGCGGGCACCUCGAUUCACAGCUCUGGAGCAGAAGCCAUCAGUGAAGAGUGGCAGAGCUUUAGCAACUUGCAGAGAGCUAAAAACAGAGCUUUGGUGGGAGACUCAAACUCCCAGAGGAUAUUCCCACAUUGAGGGAGAAGAUAGCCACGAUGCUGCCAGAGCUCCUGCUGCAGCACAGCUUUGGUACAUCAUACCCGCAUUAAAAGCUUUGUACUUCUCCUAAAAAUUACCCUCUAGGGUUUGUUUUCUCUUACCUGAGCUCCUUCCAAAGAUUAGUGUCAAAUUCACCACUCUCUUAAAACACCUACAAAGGCUUCAGCCGAAAGGUUUUCAUUUUAGGACAUUGAACAAAGAAUUUAGCCAGGCUCAAAACCUUUAUGCUGGUAAUGGUGCCACGCCCCAAGGGAAUUAAUUUGCCUAUCUCACACUGUGGGACUUCCCUGCUCCCAGAUGCCUCAGUCCAGACCACGCUUCCCAUGCUUCACCCUGAGGCUCUCGGCCCCACUCUUGCAGGAGAAAAACGCUGCUACUCUGAAAAACAUGGGUGAAAUUGUAAGUGGCACAGCAAGAACAUACCCCGAGCCCUGGAGCUGGUUUGCUCUCAGCCAGCUCAUUUCAGACUUGACUGUCCAGAAGUUUGAAUUGGGUCAGUGCAAUAAGCAGCAUAGAAGAGCCAUUCGGCCUGGGAGGGUGUUAGGUCCACUUGUUCUCAUAACAUCCCAGUGUGCUUGUGCAGCUCCUCUGAUCCCAAAUGAGCCUUUUGCUGUAGUGGGAAAGAUAACGCACGAUGUAAUUGUUGUUUGGUGGUGUGUUCUCUAGGUUUGUUGUUUUGUUGUAAGAAA
ensembl:lncRNA